rnacentral:rRNA from 1 species
UACGUAGGGUGCGAGCGUUGCCCGGAUUUAUUGGGCGUAAAGGGCUCGUAGGCGGUUUGUCGCGUCGGGAGUGAAAACUCAGGGCUUAACCCUGAGCCUGCUUCCGAUACGGGCAGACUAGAGGUAUGCAGGGGAGAACGGAAUUCCUGGUGUAGCGGUGAAAUGCGCAGAUAUCGAGGAGGAACAGCCGGUAGGCGAAGGCGGAUCUCUGGGCCAUUGACUGACGGCUGAGGAGCGAAAGGCGUGGGGAGCGAACAGG